UGAAAUCCCGGGCUCACCUGGGAUCUGCAUUGAAACUGGCAGGCUGGAGUCUGUAGAGGAGGGUAGAAUUUCCAGGUGUAGCGGUGAAAUGCGUAGAGAUCUGGAGGAAUACCGGUGGCGAAGGCGGCCCCCUGGACAAAGACUGACGCUCAGGUGCGAAAGCGUGGGGAGCAAACAGGAUUAGAUACCCCUGGUAGUCCACGCCGUAAACGAUGUCGAUUUGGAGGUUGUGCCCUUGAGGCGUGGCUUCCGGAGCUAACGCGUUAAAUCGACCGCCUGGGGAGUACGGCCGCAAGGUUAAAACUCAAAUGAAUUGACGGGGGCCCGCACAAGCGGUGGAGCAUGUGGUUUAAUUCGAUGCAACGCGAAGAACCUUACCUGGUCUUGACAUCCACAGAACUUUCCAGAGAUGGAUUGGUGCCUUCGGGAACUGUGAGACAGGUGCUGCAUGGCUGUCGUCAGCUCGUGUUGUGAAAUGUUGGGUUAAGUCCCGCAACGAGCGCAACCCUUAUCCUUUGUUGCCAGCGGUUAGGCCGGGAACUCAAAGGAGACUGCCAGUGAUAAACUGGAGGAAGGUGGGGAUGACGUCAAGUCAUCAUGGCCCUUACGACCAGGGCUACACACGUGCUACAAUGGCGCAUACAAAGAGAAGCGACCUCGCGAGAGCAAGCGGACCUCAUAAAGUGCGUCGUAGUCCGGAUUGGAGUCUGCAACUCGACUCCAUGAAGUCGGAAUCGCUAGUAAUCGUAGAUCAGAAUGCUACGGUGAAUACGUUCCCGGGCCUUGUACACACCGCCCGUCACACCAUGGGAGUGGGUUGCAAAAGAAGUAGGUAGCUUAACCUUCGGGAGGGCGCUUACCACUUUGUGAUUCAUGACGG
rnacentral:rRNA from 2 species